rnacentral:rRNA from 1 species
UAACGUAGACGAAAGUUACGCUAAAUACCGCAUACGAUCUACGGAUAGAAAGGCGGGGGAUCGCAAGACCUCGCGCGAAUGGAGCGGCCGAUGUCAGAUUAGGUAGUUGGUGGGGUAAAGGCUCACCAAGCCAACGAUCUGUAGCUGGUCUGAGAGGACGACCAGCCACACUGGAACUGAGACACGGUCCAGACUCCUACGGGAGGCAGCAGUGGGGAAUUUUGGACAAUGGGCGCAAGCCUGAUCCAGCCAUUCCGCGUGCAGGAUGAAGGCCUUCGGGUUGUAAACUGCUUUUGUACGGAACGAAACGGUCUGCCCUAAUACGGUGGGCUAAUGACGGUACCGUAAGAAUAAGCACCGGCUAACUACGUG